rnacentral:rRNA from 1 species
GAAGGUGGCAAGCGUUGUUCGGUGUUACUGGGCUUAAAGCGUGUGUAGGCGGAAAAGUAAGCGUUUUGUGAAAUACCCGGGCUUAACCCGGGAAUUGCUUAGCGAACUACUUUUCUUGAGGCAAGUAGGGGUGCAUGGAACUCUUGGUGGAGCGGUGGAAUGCGUAGAUAUCAAGAGGAACGCCGAUGGAGAAAUCAGUGCACUGGGCUUGUCCUGACGCUGAGACACGAAAGCGUGGGGAGCGAACGGGAUUAGAUACCCCGGUAGUCCACGCUGUAAACGAUGUCUACUAGGUCGUGGAAGUUCUGACACUGCCACGGCCCGAAGCAAAAGUGUUAAGUAGACCGCCUGGGGAGUACGGUCGCAAGGCUA